ACGGAAGGCAGCAGUGGGAAAUAUUGCACAAUGGGGGAAACCCUGAUGCAGCGACGCCGCGUGAAGGAUGACGUAUUUCGGUAUGUAAACUUCUAUCAGCAAGGAAGAUGAUGACGGUACUUGACUAAGAAGCACCGGCUAAAUACGUGCCAGCAGCCGCGGUAAUACGUAUGGUGCAAGCGUUAUCCGGAUUUACUGGGUGUAAAGGGAGCGCAGACGGCAUGGCAAGCCAGAUGUGAAAUGCGGGGGCUCAACUCCUGAACUGCAUUUGGAACUGUCAAGCUAGAGUAUCGGAGAGGUAAGUGGAAUUCCUAGUGUAGCGGUGAAAUGCGUAGAUAUUAGGAGGAACACCAGUGGCGAAGGCGGCUUACUGGACGAUAACUGACGUUGAGGCUCGAAAGCGUGGGGAGCAAACAGGAUUAGAUACCCUGGUA
rnacentral:rRNA from 1 species